UACGUAGGGGGCAAGCGUUGUCCGGAAUCAUUGGGCGUAAAGAGCGUGUAGGCGGCCAGAUAAGUCCGCUGUGAAAACUCGAGGCUCAACUUCGAGCUGUCGGUGGAAACUAUUUGGCUAGAGUCCGGAAGAGGAGAGUGGAAUUCCUGGUGUAGCGGUGAAAUGCGCAGAUAUCAGGAAGAACACCCGUGGCGAAGGCGGCUCGCUGGUACGGAACUGACGCUGAGACGCGAAAGCGUGGGGAGCGAACAGG
rnacentral:rRNA from 1 species